UCUUAACUUGAAAAGCACUAAAGAACUCUUUUAAGAUCAGUUUGCGCUCCCACAAUUUUAUCCCUUCCUUUAAAAUAGAGAUUAGAUGUCCCUUAAGAUAUGGAUUGAGAGGUUUCCCUCUUCCAAGCCAUAGUUCAAAAGGAAGUUGCUGCUUCAACCACAUAGCUUUAACACGACUAAAAUGUCGAGAAAGCUUGUGAUCAAUCAUCCCCAACUGUUUAUAGUUGGCACCACCUACCCUUGCUAGGGUACUAAACUUUACUAAAUACAAUAAUUUUAUUUUAUAAGUUUGUUUUACCUUAUUAGUCUUAUACUUGUUAUAUUUAAAUUUUAGGUUUGUCUAUGUGCCUUCUCUACAUACAACAGUUGCUCUUUUGAAUGAGUUAUUGAAUUG
rnacentral:lncRNA from 1 species